UCUUUCGUAGUAUAGUGGUCAGUAUACAAGCUUGUCAAGAUUCUCCUCGGAGAGUUCAGCAUCGCUUGGGACCCGGGUUCAAUUCCCGGCGAGAGAG